rnacentral:rRNA from 2 species
GGUUGCGAUCAUACCAGCACU